rnacentral:rRNA from 1 species
GUGUCAGCCGCCGCGGUAAUACAGAGGGGGCAAGCGUUGUUCGGAAUUAUUGGGCGUAAAGGGUGCGUAGGCGGUGCGGUAAGUCUUCUGUGAAAUCUCCGGGCUCAACUCGGAGCCUGCAGGAGAAACUGCCGUGCUUGAGUAUGGGAGAGGUGAGUGGAAUUCCUGGUGUAGCGGUGAAAUGCGUAGAUAUCAGGAGGAACACCUGUGGCGAAAGCGGCUCACUGGACCAUAACUGACGCUGAGGCACGAAAGCUAGGGGAGCAAACAGGAUUAGAUACCCCCGUAGUCC